ACGUAGGGGGCGAGCGUUGUCCGGAAUCACUGGGCGUAAAGCGCACGUAGGCGGGCUGUCAAGUCGGCCGUGAAAGGCAUGGGCUCAACCUGUGCAUGUCGGUCGAUACUGGCGGUCUGGAGUAUGGGAGAGGGAACUGGAAUUCCCGGUGGAGCGGUGAAAUGCGUAGAUAACGGGAGGAACACCAGGGGCGGAGGCGGGUUCCUGGCCCAUGACUGACGGUGGGGUGGGGAAGCCGGGGGAGCGAACGG
rnacentral:rRNA from 1 species